UACGUAGGGCGCAAGCGUUGUCCGGAAUUAUUGGGCGUAAAGAGCUCGUAGGCGGCUUGUCACGUCGGGUGUGAAAGCUUGGGGCUUAACUCCAGGUCUGCAUUCGAUACGGGCUGGCUAGAGGUAGGUAGGGGAGAACGGAAUUCCUGGUGUAGCGGUGAAAUGCGCAGAUAUCAGGAGGAACACCGGUGGCGAAGGCGGUUCUCUGGGCCUUACCUGACGCUGAGGAGCGAAAGCGUGGGGAGCGAACAGG
rnacentral:rRNA from 1 species